GACAGGAUGACCGAGUGGUUAAGGUGCAGGCCUGCGUAAGUAGCCUUUACAAAGACACCGUAACUCGAAUUUCCAACUAACACCCCAAAUAGUAAGCCUGUGGGUUCGCCCGCCUGGGUUCGAAUCCCAGUUCUGUCG